UCGAGGAUCAUUCGCAAUGCGCGAAAGCGUGACGAUGCGACGCUGCGUGGAGGAUGAAGGCCUUCGGGUCGUAAACUCCUGUCAUUCGGGAACAAUAACAAGAAGGUGAAUAACCUUUUUGGAUGAUAGUACCGGAAGAGGAAGCCACGGCUAACUCUGUGCCAGCAGCCGCGGUAAUACAGAGGUGGCGAGCGUUGUUCGGAUUUACUGGGCGUAAAGGGUGCGUAGGUGGUUUUGUGUGUCGGAUGUGAAAUCUCACUGCUCAACGGUGAAAUGGCAUUCGAAACUGCAGAACUUGAGUGCAGGAGAGGAGAGCGGAAUUCUUGGUGUAGCGGUGGAAUGCGUUGAGAUCAAGAAGAACACCGGUGGCGUAGGCGGCUCUCUGGUAUGCAACUGACACUGAGGCACGAAAGUUGGGGGAGCAAACAGG
rnacentral:rRNA from 1 species